UGGGGAAUUUUGGACAAUGGGGGAAACCCUGAUCCAGCCAUCCCGCGUGUGCGAUGAAGGCCUUCGGGUUGUAAAGCACUUUUGGCAGGAAAGAAACGUCGCGGGUUAAUACCCCGCGAAACUGACGGUACCUGCAGAAUAAGCACCGGCUAACUACGUGCCAGCAGCCGCGGUAAUACGUAGGGUGCAAGCGUUAAUCGGAAUUACUGGGCGUAAAGCGUGCGCAGGCGGUUCGGAAAGAAAGAUGUGAAAUCCCAGAGCUUAACUUUGGAACUGCAUUUUUAACUACCGGGCUAGAGUGUGUCAGAGGGAGGUGGAAUUCCGCGUGUAGCAGUGAAAUGCGUAGAUAUGCGGAGGAACACCGAUGGCGAAGGCAGCCUCCUGGGAUAACACUGACGCUCAUGCACGAAAGCGUGGGGAGCAAACAGGAUUAGAUACCCUGGUAGUCCACGCCCUAAAACGAUGUCAACUAGCUGUUGGGGCCUUCGGGCCUUGGUAGCGCAGCUAACGCGUGAAGUUGACCGCCUGGGGAGUAC
rnacentral:rRNA from 1 species